rnacentral:rRNA from 1 species
UACGAAGGGUGCAAGCGUUACUCGGAAUUACUGGGCGUAAAGCGCGUGUAGGUGGAUUGGUGUGUCAGAUGUGAAAGCCCUGGGCUCAACCCAGGAACUGCACCUGAAACUACCAGUCUUGAGUGGUGGAGAGGGAAGUGGAAUUCCUGGUGUAGAGGUGAAAUUCGUAGAUAUCAGGAGGAACACCAGUGGCGAAGGCGGCUUCCUGGACACUAACUGACGCUGAGACGCGAAAGCGUGGGGAGCAAACAGG